rnacentral:rRNA from 1 species
GACGUAGGGCGCAAGCGUUGUCCGGAUUUAUUGGGCGUAAAGAGCUCGUAGGCGGCCUGUCGCGUCGACCGUGAAAACCUGCAGCUCAACUGCAGGCUUGCGGUCGAGUACGGGCGAGGCUAGAGUUCGGUAGGGGAGCUGGAAGUUCCUGGUGUAGCGGUGAAAUGCGCCAGGAUAUCGGGAAGAACGACCCGUGGCGAAGGCGGUUCUCUGGGACGGUACUGGACGCUGAGACGCGAAAGCGUGGGGAGCGAACAGG